UGCACCUUGGUCCUCUUCUGUUAACGGCCGUGACAGUCAUCAGAACCAGGCAGGCUGCGGUGAUUCCUUUCCUAAUACACAUGGUAUUAUCAAUUCAAUGGAUACAGUCCAUUUACUGCAAUCAAUUCACAUAAUGUACACAUCAUCUUCUGUACACAGUACCUGUAACAACAAUUAUACAUCAAAGGAGUUUCUGAUCAGUCUGACCUUCCUGACAGAAGGAGUUAAUUUCACUAUUGCUAUCUGCAAUGAUUAGAUAUGUAAGACACACUGAUGCAGAAUUCAGAGGUGAUGAAUAUUGAAAAAAGUUAUAUCGAUCAGCAGGUCUAGAGCAGGUCUUGUAUAAAGUAUGCACAUCAUUCUGUAAAUGAAUGAAUGUGAUCUGUUUGUCAAGCGAAUAAUCUUUUCAUAUGUUAUUAAUUGAAUGCAGCCGUAGCUGCUCCGCAACAAACACCAAUGUUUAAAAUGAAUUGAGUGAAGAUCUGUGGUGAGACAACAUGUCAUAGUGACAGUUCAGUGUGAGUAGUGAGAGAGCUACCAAGCAGAAAGUGGGACAGUGGCUUCUGCUAGCUAGAGCCACUCUCUCUUUUCAGACUGGCAUGUAACAGUGGAGAUGGUGACACAGGGAGGCUUGUCUACUGAACCAAACAAGUCCUGUCAGAAGAAGAGGCUUCGGCUGAAACUUUAAAAAACUGGGUUAAAUGUCUUGGGUAUACUAGAAUAGAAAACGCCAAGUGUCAAAACAUUAAAAAGCUAUGGUGCAGUUCCAAAAUAAUAGCGACAAAAUUGGCUGUGGAAAUGGGUUUGAAAUCCCCAAAUCUUUUGAAGUGAAACAAGCCACUAACCAACAGAUAAAGGUUCAAUAUCAUUAGCUUCAUUCUUUGAUUUCUCCUUUUAUUGUGCUUUCUGAGUGAGAGGGAGAGAGAGAAAGAGAGAAGCACAAGUCAACAACAAAAUCAAAGACCUGCUGUCACCUGCCAACUCAGCCAAUGGCAGGAUCAUCUGUAGAGUGAGAUAGAGGGAGUGACACGUCUGGGUGGCAGUGGCCAGACCCUCGGGGCCAUACCAGAGUUCAGGCGAGGAGAUGGGAGGAGACAAGCUGGCCUUGCUGCCCCCUUAGCUGCUGCAGAUAGGGUUCCUCCCCUCCGGCGUUCGAUGUCGCUGUUUUACUAACCACCGGUCCUGGGAAUCAUCAUUACCGCACCUGGCUUUCAUCAUCAAGCACACCUGUUCUCCAUUACCGCACUCCCCUAGGUUCCUUCCCCAGGCAGUAUUGUUUCUGUUUGUUCAUGUCUAGACGCUACUCCUACGUUGUAUUGAGCCAUG